CCUACGGGCUGCAGCAGUGGGGAAUAUUGGACAAUGGGCGAAAGCCUGAUCCAGCAAUGCCGCGUGUGUGAAGAAGGUCUUCGGAUUGUAAAGCACUUUCGACGGGGACGAUGAUGACGGUACCCGUAGAAGAAGCCCCGGCUAACUCCGUGCCAGCAGCCGCGGUAAGACGGGGGGGGCAAGUGUUCUUCGGAAUGACUGGGCGUAAAGGGCGCGUAGGCGGUUUAUGCAGUCAGAUGUGAAAUCCCCGGGCUUAACCUGGGAACUGCAUUUGAGACGCAUAGACUAGAGGUCGAGAGAGGGUUGUGGAAUUCCCAGUGUAGAGGUGAAAUUCGUAGAUAUUGGGAAGAACACCGGUGGCGAAGGCGGCAACCUGGCUCGAUACUGACGCUGAGGCGCGAAAGCGUGGGGAGCAAACAGGAUUAGAUACCCUCGUAGUC
rnacentral:rRNA from 1 species